UAGGUUCCGGCAUUUAUAGAGUGUCGGAUGAAAAGGGAAACAGGUGUAAGUCCUGUACGAACUCGUCACUGUAAUCGGGGAGUGCAAAGCCAUAGAUGUCACUGAGUAAGAACUUGGGAAGGCGGUUUUGUAUAGAGAUCCGUAAGUCAGGAGACCUGCCUAUUGAA
rnacentral:ncRNA from 1 species